AAUGGUGAUAAAGAGAAUUUCAAGGGCUCUGUUCCCCAGAGAGUAAAAGCCUCUGGAAUUUCUUCAGGACUCCAGUAUUUUGGACAAUCCAUUGGUGAUGGUGGCUUUGAUUUCCCUAAUGAUGGUGUCCAAGACAGGGCAGCAGGAUCUCUGGAGAACGUGACUGUGCUCUGCCAUGUGAGUUCCACUGUUUUUCCAGGGUUUUUCUGAGAGUUAAACACGAGAAAAAUGAUAACAUGGAGUGUCCUGUUCCUGUGCUGGGCAGAGAGCACCCAUUAGAAAAUGCAU